GAUGAACGCUGGCGGCGUGCCUAAUACAUGCAAGUCGAGCGAACAGAUGAGGAGCUUGCUCCUCUGACGUUAGCGGCGGACGGGUGAGUAACACGUGGAUAACCUACCUAUAAGACUGGGAUACCUUCGGGAAACCGGAGCUAAUACCGGAUAAUAUAUUGAACCGCAUGGUUCAAUAGUGAAAGACGGUUUUGCUGUCACUUAUAGAUGGAUCCGCGCCGCAUUAGCUAGUUGGUAAGGUAACGGCUUACCAAGGCGACGAUGCGUAGCCGACCUGAGAGGGUGAUCGGCCACACUGGAACUGAGACACGGUCCAGACUCCUACGGGAGGCAGCAGUAGGGAAUCUUCCGCAAUGGGCGAAAGCUUGACGGAGCAACGCCGCGUGAGUGAUGAAGGUCUUCGGAUCGUAAAACUCUGUUAUUAGGGAAGAACAAAUGUGUAAGUAACUAUGCACGUCUUGACGGUACCUAAUCAGAAAGCCACGGCUAACUACGUG
rnacentral:rRNA from 1 species